rnacentral:rRNA from 1 species
AUGUCGAGGGUUGCUCGGCCGGUGAGCGGCACCAAGUUCCUGUCUCGGCGAGCGGCCACGUCCGGCCAUAAUCGUUGUGGUUGCUGCCUAGCACUAGAUGAGAUGCUGACACCAAGUCGCGGGACAACAGCGAAAAAUCCGCACACUAGGCGAGAUAUGGAUGGAGUAUGUUCCUGCAAGGGUGCCGACGGGUGUUUGUUUCGGAAGAUUCAGCACAAACUAGUACAAGCAAAGGUUAGUACGGAAGUAAUGUAUGCAUCAUUGUUUCGGUUUUCCAAUGCUUCCUUCUUUGCAUUGGUAAAGAUGUUUUUGCAUUUGCCACAUGUCUUGAUCUUAGAGUUGUAG